UACGAAGGGUGCAAGCGUUACUCGGAAUUACUGGGCGUAAAGCGUGCGUAGGUGGUUUGUUAAGUCUGUUGUGAAAGCCCCGGGCUCAACCUGGGAAUGGCAAUGGAUACUGGCAGGCUAGAGUGCGGUAGAGGGUAGUGGAAUUCCCGGUGUAGCGGUGAAAUGCGUAGAGAUCGGGAGGAACACCGGUGGCGAAGGCGGCGAUCUGGGUCGAUACUGACGCUGAGGUGACGAAAGCGUGGGGAGCAAACACGGAU
rnacentral:rRNA from 1 species